rnacentral:lncRNA from 1 species
UUGAUACCUCUUGAUUAUCCCAUGAUGAAAGCUUGGUUCGAGGUAGACAUAAUAUGGACUCACCGUUUCCUUUAAAGUAGCUAUCUACCAAGAGAGGUUGAGCCCGUAUUUUCCACUUUGUGGUUUGUUGUCGUUAUUUGUGCAUUGAAAUUAUAGGGCUUUGAUUGCUUUAGUCAAACUCCUAUGGAGUUUGUGACAACACCUUUUAGUCUUUUGUGAUUGGGCUUUUAAUGCUUUGGUUGCACAUUUAUGGUGUUUGUAAU